GAGAUAACCGGAGCGACGUGUUGAAGUUGGUUAGUUUCGUGUUGGUCAUAUUCAUUUAAGUGUGGUCAUUUCCUGCCAGUAAAGUAUGUAGAGAAGAAGAGUUCGAUGAAGACGUAGAAGGGAGGAACGAGAGUCGAGAUAAGGAAGAGAAUGUUGUGGUAGUAGAGUGGUCGGUUGGUGACGAUGACGGUGAGUGGUAGCGGAGGAAUUGAACCAGACGAGUUUGGGCGAUGGUGAGUGGCAACCGAUAACGAUGGCAGUUUUGGAGUCUUGAAUUGAAACGUUGAGCAGCGAUUUAGGGAUCGGUGUCGGCUACGUGCUCUGUUGUUUCUGCAGUUAGAUUGUUUUGUUCUUUUUCCUAAUCUUUAAUGGUAGAUUGGACCAUGCUUAGUGAA